UUUUAUAAGUACCUGAUCGUUCCUCCGCGUCUUCUGUUAAUUUGCUUCCCACCGCUCGCUAAUGGUCAUUGAUGAAUAGAAUAGAUUGCACGCGCUGCUGGUCUACUGCAGCGUGCAUUAUUCAGUGCGGCGCCGCCUCCUUUCCCUCUAUGGUUCUACGUCUGCUCUAAACCGACCGUACAUUUUGUGGUUGGUGAAAUCCGCUGAAUGGAUCCGUCCCCAACCCACUUACCAGUUACCACCCUCGCCACCAUCAGCAUUUCUCUUUUGUUGUUUUUACUGCCUCCACUUUCCUCUCAUUUCUAGGACGCGAACCGAACCGAAUCGAAUCUCCGCCUAAAAGCUUCUCCCCCGUGCCCCACCCCCAUCAUUAUUAGAGGAAGAAAUGGAUGGAUCGCCGAUGCGCUCCUCUUCUGGCAGCUGCUGUCGCAACGGCAGCUAAGUGAUCCGUCGCCGCAUUAGCUCUUCAGCCGAUGCGGUGAUUGAGCAGCUCUCCUCGGCCUUCGUCGUGCAGAUCCACAUCUGCAGUUAUGAUACGGAUUGGUGCGUUGACGAAUCAAUCUGAUCUGUAGCCCCCUCCUCUUUCAGCUUCCCCUCCCCCUCUUCGAUUCCCCUCUUCCUCUUAGAAUCCGUAAUUCCAUCUGCAUUUCUUCCCCGGAUUCGCUUCGCUAGAGAGCGCGGGGAAAAAGGAAAACGACGAAAAUGAAGAAGCCGAAUUCCGAGUCGUGGCUUGGACGCGUGGGCCUGGCGCGGGGGAGCGCCGGCGCCGGCGACGGGGAGAGGGCCUCGAUCGGGGUGCUGGCCUUCGAGGCGGCGAGCCUCAUGUCGAAGACGGCCCACCUCUGGUACGCCCUCGACGACGCCAGCGUCGCCCGCCUCAGGGACGACUUCCUGCACCUCGAGGGCGUCCGCAAGCUCGUCUCCGACGACGACGACUUCCUCCUGGGCCUGGCGCUCGACGAGAUGGCCGACUCCCUCGGCUUCCUGACCCGCUCCGUCGCCCGGCUCGGGAGGCGCUGCUCCGACCCCUUGCUGCGGCGCUUCGACCGCUUGUUCGCGGAUCUGACCAAGAGCGGCCACGAUCCGUACGGCCUCCGCUACGCCGGCAAGAAGAUGGAGCGCAAGGUGAAGAAGAUGGAGCGUCUGGUGGCGGCCACCUCCGACCUGUACCAGGAGCUGGAGGUGCUGGCCGAGCUGGAGCAGGCCCUGAGGAGGGUGCAGCCCCGCAACGACCCCCGGAGCAUCGCCGAAUUCGCGCACAAGGUGGUGUGGCAGCGGCAGCAAGUGAAGUAUCUGCGAGGAGCCUCGCUCUGGGGCCGGACCUACGAUUAUGCCGUCCGCUUGCUGGCGAGGUCCCUCUUCACCAUCCUUGCCAGGAUCAAGCUCGUCUUCGGUUUCGAGCACAAGGGCGCUGCUGAUCCUGCUGCCGGGAGACGCCUCUCUCGCAGCCACUCUGUUGCCGGGCUGAUGCACUCCUCCGUCCAUCCGUCCGACUACAAUGAGAUUCACAGGUUUUCCUCGGGCCCACUCGGGAAUUCCACCGCCAAAUCAGGGCCUAUUACCAGCAGAGAAUCUAGAGAUGUUGGGAAGCAGCGUCCGCCUCACGGCCGUCUCCAUCACUCAGGGAAAGGCAUGAAAACCAGGUGGCCUUCGGUUGGUGCAAAACCGUUCAAGGGUUGCAUGGCUGGAGGAAGCGAGUCUCCGGUUCUGCAGAGCUGCAUAUCAUUGGACGGUGGCUUCAGAAGGUCAAGUGCUGGGCCGGCAAACCACGUUGAAAAGGAACGCGAUUACAUCGAAACUCAGUUCAGGGGUAAUUUUUCGAGUAUGAAGCUCUUCUCGUCCUUGUUUGAGUCCAAAUCUAAGCUUCUGAAUGCCCCAGAAUCGACCCUUGGCGCAGCUGCUUUGGCUCUGCACUAUGCUAAUGUCAUAAUCGUCAUUGAGAAGCUCGCGGCAUCACCCCAUCUGAUUGGUCCGGAUGCAAGGGACGACCUGUACAAUAUGCUGCCAAUGAGCAUAAGAUCAUCCCUUAGAACACGGCUCAAAAUUUAUGCAAGGAAUUUAGCCGCUCCGGUCUAUGAUCCAGCUCUAGCGGUGGAAUGGACUGAGGCGAUAACAAGGAUAUUGGAGUGGUUGGCCCCGCUUGCUCAUAACAUGAUAAGGUGGCAGUCCGAGCGGAAUUUCGAGCAGCAGCAUGUUGUUUCAAGCACCAAUGUACUUUUGCUGCAGACCCUUUACUAUGCGAAUCAAAUGAAGACAGAAGCUGCAAUAACUGAGCUGCUCGUUGGCCUCAACUAUUUAUGGAGACAUGGAAGGGAACUCAAUGCAAAAGCAAUAUUAGACACCAACCAAUUAGCAACCGGAAUAUGGAGCCUUUAUCGGGCAACGUGAUUAGCUUAUGAUGAGUUCAUCGUUUCUUCACAAACAUCAUACAACAUGUGGCAGGCAUGGACUCGCAAAUCUUAAAGGAGGCUUUUUAGAUGUCUCAUUUUUGUUGCUUUCUAAUAUAAUGUGGAUCGUCUACAUUGGCAGGUGUUUCUUUUGAUCUCUUAGCAUGAUUGACUCUCCAGUUCUUUUUUGCCACUUUGACAAAAUCUUUUUGUUACAAAAAUUGGUUUAGAUUGCAGUUUUCAGAUUACGACAACUCAAGUUCAGAGCAUAGCUUAUUUUCCUCUUCACUCUACUACACUAUGCAUUCUCUAGGUGCAGUUGUUCUGCUGAAACAUAUUCAAACUCUACCAAGGAUUACUAGCAUGGAUAGAAAUUGUCAAGAUGGAGCCAUUAAAGAGUAAUAGUUUCCCAAGAAGUGCCUCCAACUUGGCUGACCUGCUUUUAUUUGGUUUGUGCUACCAAAUCAUCUUGUAUAAUAUAUUCCUCUAUUGUUAAUUUCCAUUCUUCCUGUGGAUUUUGACUUAUUUUUCAACCCUCACUUCCAGCACUUUCAGGAGUUCUUGACAAAUUGAAAGAACCAAAACAGGUCUAUAGAGGCAAACAUGUUGAGAUUAAGAAGCAUAUAGUUUGAAGCUAUUUAGAUACUUUCAUGCAUUGUAUGAAGUUACGAGUAAAUCUCCAUUUAUGGCUAUCUUUAGAAUGUUGGGCACUGAAUUACUUCUUCAGCGCUUUUAUUGUUACCAAAUUUAUAAUUACUAGUGGAUUAAUAGAAAUAGAUUUAUAUGGACCUUUAGAUCUUCAAAGCGUAUAAUGGCAACUAAUUCAGAUGCUUGACAUACUGAGGCCUACUCUAGCUAUGACGUUCUUUGUUUAACUACCUUAAAAUCUAAUGCCUUGCCAAGUACUUCUUUCAUAUUAGAGUUCUGUUUUUUUUUUUGCAAAACCUUAGCUAGAAUGUUUAAUUUACGAUAUAAUUAAGCUUUUGCAACAGUCAUAUUCUCUUAGGAGAGGAAAAAAGGAUGAUAUAAUGGCUAAAUAAUAAAAUGUCCAAGGAUUAAUAUGUGAAUUCACAUAUAUGUGAACAAUGAAGCGCCUUAAUCAUACCAUUUUAUAAGUAGCUGGCAUGAUAACCAGUGGGGCAAUAUGCAGCAUGUUAACCUGAGGGUUGCUAAAUAGGAUGAAGAUUAUCUCAGGCCAAAGAAAGAAGCAUCAUACAUUAACAAGUUGGAGAAAUCAAAGUGGAGUGCCUUUGUCUGAUUUCAUGGAUGUGGUUUAGUUGGGAAGACAACCACUUUGUUGUUUUAUUGGUGUUUUGAAAUUGACAUUCCAUUAUCAUGUGAUGAUAUUUAGGGACUGUUUGGUUUAAGAUUUGUAAUAU